rnacentral:rRNA from 1 species
CCUACGGGAGGCAGCAGUGGGGAAUAUUGGACAAUGGGGGCAACCCUGAUCCAGCCAUGCCGCGUGUGUGAAGAAGGCCUUCGGGUUGUAAAGCACUUUCAGCUGUGAGGAAAGGCGAGUGGUUAAUACCCGCUUGCUGUGACGUUACUCGCAGAAGAAGCACCGGCUAACUCCGUGCCAGCAGCCGCGGUAAUACGGAGGGUGCGAGCGUUAAUCGGAAUUACUGGGCGUAAAGCGUGCGCAGGCGGUUUGUUAAGCGAGAUGUGAAAGCCCCGGGCUCAACCUGGGAACCGCAUUUCGAACUGGCAAACUAGAGUCUUGUAGAGGGGGGUAGAAUUCCAGGUGUAGCGGUGAAAUGCGUAGAUAUCAGGAAGAACACCGAGAGCGAAGGCAAUUUACUGGACGAUAACUGACGCUCAGGGACGAAAGCGUGGGGAGCGAACAGGAUUAGAUACCCGAGUAGUC